rnacentral:rRNA from 1 species
GUUGCUUCUCCGCCGGUCGAGGACAACCGACCCCUCGCGUCCGAGGUUAAACGACGUCCGAAGUGUUACCUCCUCGGAGGCACACGUUAAAGAUCGUUCCGGGUUGUGAGUCUUGACACCAACUGUAUGAUGUUUACAACCGGCGGCGUUGGAUCCCUUGGCACGUCAUUCGAUGAAGACCGUUGCAAAUUGCGAUAAAGUGAUGUGAUGCGCAAGUCCACCACUUAUACGUGAAUCAUCGAGUUGUUGAACGCACUGCACCGCGCCCUAAUCCGGCUGCGGUAUGCCCCUUUGAGCGUCAUUUGUUACCCUUCGGGAGCUUUUCCUUGGGAAGGCCCGAGUUCGGAGUCCUCGGUCCUCGGAUCGUGUUCUCUCAGAUCCAUCAUGCCAGCCGUCCAGUGGGUCCUCCAAUGCCUGAGCGUGGAGGGCUUCUGGGGUCUCGAGCGGCGUUCGACCGCGUGGAAAGCGCUGGUCGCCAAGUCCGUGCGGCCCAGCCGUCGGUGCUACAACUCAUGACCUCAUUGGGGUAGGACAACCCGCUAGACUUAAGCAUAUUAAUCAGCGGAGGAAAAGAAACUAACCAGGAUUCCCUCAGUAACUGCGAGUGAAGUGGGAUCA